rnacentral:rRNA from 1 species
GUGUCAGCCGCCGCGGUAAUACGUAGGGGGCAAGCGUUGUCCGGAUUUACUGGGCGUAAAGCGCGUGUAGGCGGGGAAGCGCGUCGGACGUGAAAGGCGGGAGCUCAACUCCCGAGCGGCGUUCGAAACGGCUUCUCUUGAGGACCGAAGAGGAGAGUGGAAUUCCUGGUGUAGCGGUGAAAUGCGUAGAGAUCAGGAGGAACACCCGUGGCGAAGGCGGCUCUCUGGUCGGUAUCUGACGCUGAGACGCGAAAGCGUGGGGAGCGAACGGGAUUAGAUACCCCCGUAGUCC